GAGACUCUGAUACGCUGGCGGCAUGCCUCAACCAUGCAAGUUGAACGAGCUGUUAUGUUUUAAGGAAUUUAAGUUCAGUACGAAGGUGAGUAACAUGUAAGAACCUACCUUUAAGAGAGGAAUAACUACUGGAAACGGUGGGCUAAAACCUCAUAAGCUGCGGAGUAAAAAGUGAAAACUGCCUAAAGAUGGGCGUUGCAUCUGAUUAGCUUGUUGGUGAAUUAAUUGUUUACCAAGGCAACGAUCAGUAGUUGGUCUAAGAGGAUGAUCAACCACACUGGGACUGAGACACGGACCAGACCUAAACGGAGGGCAGCAGUGAGGAAUUUUCCGCAAUGGGCGAAAGCCUGACGGAGCAAUGCCGCGUGGAUGAUGAAGGCUUUUGAGUCGUAAAGUUCUUUUCUUAGCGAAGAAAAUAGACGGUAGCUGAGGAAUAAGCAUCGGCUAAUUCCGUGCCAGCAGCCGCGGUAAUACGGAAGAUGCAAGCGUCAUACGGAAUUAUUGGGCGUAAAGCGUCUGUAAGUGGUUUAUAAGUCUACCUGUUAAAUCGUCAAGCUUAACCUUGAAAGACGCUGUAUGAAACUAAAAGGCUUGAGAUUAGUAGAGGUAAAGGAAUUCUCGAUGUAGAGGUGAAAUGCGUAGAUAUCAGGGACGAACAACUGGUGGAGAAAAGCGCUUUACUUGGGCUAAAAAUGACACUGAAAGAAGAAG
rnacentral:rRNA from 1 species